ACGGGAGCUUGCUCCUGGUGGCGAGUGGCGAACGGGUGAGUAAUACAUCGGAACGUACCCAGGAGUGGGGGAUAACGUAGCGAAAGUUACGCUAAUACCGCAUAUUCUGUGAGCAGGAAAGCGGGGGAUCGCAAGACCUCGCGCUCUUGGAGCGGCCGAUGUCGGAUUAGCUAGUUGGUGAGGUAAAAGCUCACCAAGGCGACGAUCCGUAGCAGGUCUGAGAGGAUGAUCUGCCACACUGGGACUGAGACACGGCCCAGACUCCUACGGGAGGCAGCAGUGGGGAAUUUUGGACAAUGGGGGCAACCCUGAUCCAGCCAUGCCGCGUGAGUGAAGAAGGCCUUCGGGUUGUAAAGCUCUUUCGGCGGGGAAGAAAUGGCAACGGCUAAUAUCCGUUGUUGAUGACGGUACCCGCAUAAGAAGCACCGGCUAACUACGUGCCAGCAGCCGCGGUAAUACGUAGGGUGCGAGCGUUAAUCGGAAUUACUGGGGCGUAAAGCGUGCGCAGGCGGUUUCGUAAGACAGACGUGAAAUCCCCGGGCUCAACCUGGGAACUGCGUUUGUGACUGCGAGGCUAGAGUAC
rnacentral:rRNA from 1 species